AUACUUCUCACUUCGGGUAGCUCCAAUAAGCCUUUACUCCAUUUCGGCCAAUACCAACAGCACAAAGUCCAUAUAAGCAUCAAACUUUAAGCAUCAAUUAGGUCACCCCUGCAUUUCGACAGCACCAGCAGCACCAACAAUAUCAACUUCUUGCUCUCAGCUGCAAGAAUUUCCAUAUGGUGAUCUUUUCCAAGGUAAUUAACCUAUAGAAGAAUAAGUACUAAUCAAGUUUACCUUGAUUAGUUGCUGUCCCAAGUUGUUCAGCAACUCCAGCAGCAAGAAUUCUUUGCCUUGCGGCUCUCUCUCAAGGCUGAAACAUCAAGGCCAUCAGCACCAAUGACACUUUAAUUUCUCUUCAGCAGCAGCCCCAACUCAGCAACACAUCAAUCCAGAAGCUCACAUCUGAAUUCGAAGCUCUCCAACAGCUUCCUUCUUUAACUCCGCAUGGUUUUCUUUUCAGCCACAAGUCUCCAAGGCUGUCAGCACCAAGUUCUUCAACUCUUCUUAGCUUAGAGAGAGAAGGAGAAGAAAAUAAAAGAUAAGGAAUGAAGAGAGAUGACCCUUCAGCAUCUGGACAUGUGUAUCCCACUAAGGGUGAAGAGAUAAUGCUGUAAAAUUGCACUUUGGCCCCUCAAAAUGCUGAAAUUGCAUUGCUGGACAAAUGCUGCCCGCAAUUGCUAUACCGGUACAAGAAUGUGUACCGGUACAGGACAGCAGCAGCAGCAGCAUCAACAGCUGCUUCGAUUCCUUGUUUCUCACUUCUAAUCCAUUCUAAUUUCAUUCCAACACUUCAAAAACAUUCCAAAUGAACAUCCCAAGCUAUCAAAUUAAUUUGGGAGCAAUUAAUUUCAAAUUUGCAUCAAUUUGCUCAUUUUGACCAAAUCGACUAAAAUUUCAACAUUCGAGUUACAAUGGCAAUUGGAUGUCUUUAGCCACUCCAAUUCCAUUCUUAUCUAUUCUCACAUUUCCAAAACCUGUCACUUGAUAUUCUCCAGCCACUAAUUAAGUUUAGAAAUACUCAAUUUCCAUUUUAGCAUUAUGGUGACCACUUUGAUCACAAUUAGCUUGUAAUCAAAAUUCAGCCUAUUACAUUUACGGUUUUAUUAGUGGAUUUCAGUGUUAUACUUAUCCCUCUGUUGUAAAACAU